rnacentral:rRNA from 1 species
UACGGAGGGUGCGAGCGUUGUCCGGAAUCACUGGGCGUAAAGGGCGCGUAGGCGGCUUGGCAAGUGGAAGGUGAAAUCCCUCGGCUUAACCGAGGAACUGCCUUCCAGACUGCUUUGCUUGAGGCCGGGAGAGGUGAGUGGAAUUCCCAGUGUAGCGGUGAAAUGCGUAGAUAUUGGGAGGAACACCAGUGGCGAAGGCGGCUCACUGGACCGGUUCUGACGCUGAGGCGCGAAAGCGUGGGGAGCAAACAGG